rnacentral:lncRNA from 1 species
GGUUCGUAUGAGGCUUGUAGAGGCUUUUAAAGCCUUGAGUUUGACUUUGGUAAACAUUUUGUGUGUUGUGCAUCAGAUGAUGAUUCAGAUAGUUCCAUUAGAUUUAGAAUGUCAAUUUUGGAUUAGGAAAGUAAUUAGUUUGGUUAUCUAUCAUUUAUUUUGCAUUUUGACCCUUGUAAUGAAAACUAGAAGAAAUAAGCCUAAAGGGGUUCAC